UAUUCAAGCUGGGCAAUUGCUAUUCAGCUGUAAAAGGCUGGAAUAGAGGAAAGUCCGAACUCCUCAGAACAAGGUGCCGGGUAACGCCCGGAGUUCCAUCCCGUUUGCGGGGUGGGAUAUGGAAAGCGCCACAGAAAAUAUACCGCCGCUAAUUUAUUUAGUGGUAAGGGUGAAAUGGCAGGGUAAGAGCCUACCGCUUUGGUAGUAAUACCGGAGGUCUCUUUUUAGAGAGUCCCGACUUGUCGGGGUCAAGGCAAGCCCCACCUGGAGCAAGGUCAUGUACAGGGAGUUUUCGGGAAACCGGAACAGGGUUGUUCGCUCUGAGUCUCCCGGGGUAGACCGCAAGAUUCAGCCAGUAAUGGCUGAACGAGACAAAUAAUUGCCGCUCUCAUGAAAAUGGGGGUUACAAGAUUCGGCUUAUAGGCUUGGAUAUAUA
rnacentral:RNase_P_RNA from 2 species